rnacentral:misc_RNA from 1 species
UGUAAGAGUCACCCCUCCCCCACCCC